CCGAACAAAACCAGUUCCAUGUCAUCGUAAAAUAUCCAAAUCGUUCAUUAAGCAACGUAUAAUGUAAAAUUAACCGGAACUGGUUCACAAAACCAGACCGAGCAGCAACAUAUAUAUAAAAAACAUAAAAAUGAGUUUUGUGCAAAGGUAAUCUUCUUAAAGGUCAGCUCUUCCAGGAUAGCGAGGGAAGGGAAUAACGUCUCUGAUGUUGUCCAUUCCUGUCGCAAACAGAACCAUACGCUCGAACCCAAGUCCGAACCCUGAAUGCUUCGCUGUUCCGUAACGUCUCAAGUCCAAGUACCACUCGUAUGGCUCCACUGGUAGUCCCAUCUCCUCAAUUCUGUUCAUACCAACAAAAAAAAAACACAAUCAAAGAAACAUCCAACAUUAAACAAAUUAAUUUCACUUUCACCAACCUUUCCAUGAUAACGUCAAUCCUUUCUUCCCUUUGGCUUCCACCAAUGAGUUCUCCAACCUAAUUAAAAAAGACGCCAUCAAUGUAUACUCUUCCAUGAUUAAAUGAUUCAACUUUACCUUUGGAACGAGGACAUCCAUGGCAGCAACGGUCUUCCCAUCAUCAUUAAGCCUCAUGUAGAAAGCCUUGAUUCCUUUCGGGUAGUUGUAAACAAUCAGAGGCUUCUGAAACACAACCUCUGUCAAGUACCUAUAAGAUAUGAGACAAGACAACAUUAGUAACGUUUUUUCUUGCAUUUUAAGUUGAAAAAUAGUUUUUUAACCUUUCGUGCUCAGAUGCUAAGUCGAUCCCCCACUCCACUGGGUUAACAAACUCCUUCCCUUUCCCCACAGCUUCCUCAAGCAGCUCUAUCGCUUUGGUGUACGUUAACCUACCAAACGGAGUCGACGCAACCAGCUUCAGCCUAUCGAUACACCGGCCAUUAGCUCCAUGUCAUCGUACCGCUUCUCGAGCAGCCACUUGCACAUGUACCUCACGUACGCCUCCGCGCAGUUCAUAUCGUCCUCUAGAUCGGCGAAAGCUAACUCAGGCUCCACCAUCCAGAACUCGGCGAGAUGUCUCGACGUGUGAGAGUUCUCCGCUCGAAAAGUAGGACCGAACGUGUACACGUCGCUCAGACCGCAAGCGUAGGUUUCCACUUGUAAUUGACCUGAGACCGUCAAGAAAGCUUGACGGCCGAAGAAAUCUUGAGUAUAAUCAAUCUUUCCAUCGAGUUUAGGCAAUCCAGGUUUGAGCCUUGACCUCUCUUCGGUCCUGGAUAAGCUCGCUUUUGCUUCGUUGAGUUCAGCAACGGAGGCUGUGAUCGUUUCCUUGCUUGCUUUAGCGGAUUUGAGCUGCGCUACGGCUUCGCCUCUCGCCUUGACGAUGAGUCUGGCGGCUUCGACGUCGGCCUCGGUGGGUGGAGGGUUUUCGAUGAGGUCUCUCUCCAGCUUCUCGGUGUGGCUGAUGAGAGUUGUUACUUGGAACAUCUCUCCAGCUCCUUCGCAGUCGCUUGUUGUGAUGAUUGGGGUUUGAAUGUAGAGGAAACCUUCUUCGUCGAAGAAUGUGUGUGUGGCUAUAGCGAGUGCGUGUCGGAUUCUUGCAAUUGCUGAGAUCUGAAAAACACAGGGAAACAAAAAACAGGACAAUUCACUUAAACCUAACUUUCUGAUCAAGUAAUCAUUUUUCGAAUAAGGCUGUAAAUGUAACCAUCGUCACUCAACCGUAAAGACGAUUAAGAGAUCUGAAACCACAAGGAAGCAAAAACAGGAGACUCUACUUAAACCUAACUGAAAUCAAAUAACUUUCUGAUCAAGUAAUCAUUUUAGACUAAGGAUGCAAAGAAUCUGUAAUCAUCAAUGAAACUGAGGCCAACAAAGACAGACACUCCACUCAAACCUAAUUGAAAUCAAAUAACUUUCUGAUCAAGUAAUCAUUUUCCACUAAGGCUGCAAAGAAUAGGUAAUCAUGAGCGUCACUGAGGCUAGCAAAAACAGGACACACCGCUCAAACCUAAUACUAUAAUCAAAUAACUUUCUGAUCAAGUAAUAGUUUUUUUCGAUUAGGGCUGUAAAUGAAUCUCUAGUAAUCGUCACUGAGGCUACGAAAGCUAGAAGAAUCUCAAUAACUAAACCCUAAACCCAUGAACACUCCACUCAACUCAAACCUAACUUUCUGAUCAAGAAAUCAUUUUUUGAUUAGAUCUGUACAUAAUCUCAAUAACUAAACCAAUCCCAUAACAUAUUCGAACAAAGUAAGUGAUCUUUAUUACCGAAUUGGUCCUAGAACGAAGAUGAGGAAACUCUCUCAACCUCUCAAGAGUCAGCUUCGUCUUAGGAAUCGGGUAAGUAGCAGUAUCAACCGUCCCCACAUCAAUCACCUCCACAACACUAAGCUCAACCUUCUGCUUCGUCCCUUUACCUUCGGGAGGAAUCUUCAAGCACCCAUCGACGGUCACGCAAGUCCCCGUCGCAACCAGCUUGGUGAGAUCUGAAACCGAAGCGUCCACCAUAACCUGAAGAUUCGCAGGGCACGAUCCGUCGUUAACCUCGAGGAAAGCGAAAGCGCCUUUCCCUUGCUCCCUCCCCGUUUUGACCCACCCGCUGAUUCGGACCUUUUGACCCGCGAGUCCGGCUCCGCCGUCGGGUCGGCCCAGAAUCGAGCGGAUGCGGACUCGGUCUGAGAACCGCGCUUUUUGCACUGUUGAAGAUGAGAUUCCAUCGCUGGAUAUGGAUACGGCGGGUACUUGAUGUGCCGGUGGUGGAACCUCGUCGGCCAUGAGUUUGGGGGCGCUGGAGACAGAACCCUAGAACAGCUAAGCAAGAACAUAACGUGAAGGGGUAUGAUUGGAAAUUAACACCCCGCGGAUUCUAGUGGUUGUGGUUUGUAAUUUCGUAUCAUAAGAUUCUUAAACAAUUAGUUUACUAAUCUUUCCACCUCCAUAUAAAAUAUUCGUAAGAUAAUCAAAUUACUAUAGCUGGUUAAUGUUUCGUUUUUUUUUAAUAAAUUCUUGUAUUUGUUUAUGAUUUGUAUAUUAUAUAAAUAAAUAAAAUAUGAUGUUGAGUUCUAUUAUAUUAUCUUCGGUGUUCAAAAAAGAAGAAGAUAAUAUGAUUUCAAAUAUGAUAGUUAGGUCGGUAACAUUGUAGAACAAUUGUUUAAAAUAUUUUAAGUUGGUUAGCAAUUUUCACACCUGCACAAAAAAAAAAUGAAGAGAAUCAAACAACUCGAAUAAACAAAAGACUCACCCAAUAUCUAACGUACCUGGCCAUCGUGACCACGUAACGUUGUAUUCAAUUAUGAUGCAUCUUAUUUUUUUCCCUCAGGAUAAUAAAAUUUAAGAAGUUUCAAGGUGUAUUGGGACGUCGUCAAAAGUCAACCACAUGCCUCCAUAGGACUUCCAAAAUAACAGAAUAAUUUCCCAGGCAUCACGGUCAUCGUAUCAGUAAGAGAACGAUAUUAAUUCUCCCUUAUCAUUUAUUAGAAACAUUUUUGUUGUCAUCUUCUUCUUGACUUUUCCAACCAAAAUACAUCCUCCCGUCUGUUCUUUUUUUUUCUGGUCAACACACUCUUGAUCAUUUAUGGGUGAAACAAGAUCCAUGAUCACGUUCUUCUUGUUGGUGACCUUCCUACAGAUCAUCUUCCUAGCUCACGGAGCAGCAGGAGAGACGACCACAGAGUUCAUUUUUCAAGGCUUUAAAGUAAACCAAUCAAAGCUUCAAUUAGAAGAAGAUGCAACCAUCACGCCCAACGGACUACUAAGGCUAACCAAUCGAAACUCAGACCGCGCGGGAACGGCUUUUUACAACAAACCGGUUAGACUGCUCGACAAUAACUCCACGGUUCGUUCUUUUAGCACUUCCUUCAUCUUUGUCAUCAUCCCUUCAAGCUCAAACAACGGAGGUUUCGGGUUUACAUUCACACUAUCCCCAACCCCAAACCGUCCAGACGCGGAGACCGCGCAGUACUUGGGUCUUCUCAACGAAGACGACGACGGUGAUCCGGAUAAUCACGUAUUCGCAGUGGAGUUCGACACGGUUCAAGGAUACAAAGACAGCACAGAUCGAAUAGGCAACCACAUCGGUCUAAAUUUCAACAGUCUCUCUUCACACGUCCAAGAACCCGUGGCUUACUACGACAAAGAGGGGCAUAAAGAAGAUUUUCAACUCACGAGCGGCGAGCCAAUCCAAGUCUUUAUGGAUUACCACGGACCAACCAGCACCCGCCGGAGAUCCCAUGGCUCAGAAGCAUCAAUCCACCGCCGCCCCAGGUCCCGAGCCUAAGAAGCGUCGCCGCGUCGGAUUCUCUCCCGCCGGUGGGUCGUUUCUCUUCCUAUUUUUUGUUCGCGAUUGCCACUCACCGUAGCUACGCUUUUCGUAAAUUUUCUUCUAAUCUGGCAGUUUGUUCUUAACAGAUACUGGCGUGGAGGCUAGCGAGUGCAUCAAAAUCUAUCUCGGUACGUAUCUGAUUUUGAAUCGGAACGAAAUUAGGGUUACGCUUCCUGUUUUCCCCUCUUUGGUGAAAUUAGCUGUUCUAACUUCCAUGUGUGUAGUUUUUUUGGCUUUAUCUUGCAAAUUGAAUCGCAAUUUGUAUCUGGAAGGACUGUGAUAUUCGUUUCGAGUAUGUGUGAUUUGAAGUCUGCGAUACAAUCCGUGCUGUGUUAGUGACUUAGUACACAUAAUUGAUAGCUAUCGAAUGGUUGUUUUAAGUUAUUGUACGUGUAGAGAAGAUGUGUGUGCUCAAUGUUAUCGAUAAGUGUUAUUAGUAUUCAAUGUUAUUGGUUGAUUUGUAGUUUCCAGCAAAGAGGAAGUGGGUUCUCCUGAUGUUUCCUGUGUUACUCCGGUUGAUCUGAACGACUUUUUUGAUGGAGAUGGGAAGAUAUAUGGUUACCAAGGUUUGAAGGUAGUUUUCUUUCUUUCAGUUUUUGGUUUCUCAUUCUCGUGGUUCUGUUCCGGCGUAAUCUUGCUCUCGAUUUCAUUUGUUUCAGAUCAAUGUGUGGAUUAAUAGCAUCUCGUUGCAUUCUUAUGCUGAUAUUACGUACCAGAGCACAACCAAUGUAAGUCUUAAGUUUGGUUUUUGAGCCUUUGGACUGUUUAUAUAUUGGCUUCUAGAAUGAAAAUCCACUUUGGAGCAUCGUUGCCUAUUAUCUUUUUUUUUGUUUCAAGGGAGACAAAGGCAUCACGGAUCUCAAAUCUGCUUUACAGGUAAUAAUUAACUUCUAUGUCUCAACAUUUUUGUUGUUUUUCUUAUAAUUGACUACUUCAUUCAUUCCACCCAGACCAUAUUUGGUGAGACAAUUGUUGAUAGCAAGGAUGAAUUUCUGCAAACUUUUUCGACAGAAAAAGAUUUUAUCAGGUGAACAACUACUGGAUUCUCUCAUCCUUCUUCAAACUUGUAGUCAUUGAUAGCUUAUCUUUGUCAUUAUUGAUUGUUUUAGAAAUAUGGUCUCAAACGGAGAGGUAAUACAUUCCGGAGUGAUAGAUGGAAGCAGCAUUAAUGCUCAAGUGGCUCCUUCAGAUCUCCAGGUAGUUUUGCGCUAUAUGUUUCAUCUUAUAAUCUUCAAGGACCCAAUUAGUUUAAGAUGCGUUUAUCAGAAGUCAAAGAAAGAACAUAUAAUGGUAGAUUUUCCUCAGGUUUUACGGGUGGAUAUUGGUUCUCCUAAUGCUGGACUCCUCUAUAGCCGAUUGGUGCCCCUUGUUCUUCUUUUUGUCGAUGGUAAUCACUCACCCGCCCUAGCUCUUGAAUGUAUAUCUUCUCUUGUUAGUAUUAACCAGGCAUCGGUCCAUUAUAUCAGGUAGCAAUCCCAUUGAUGUCACUGACCCUGACUGGCAUUUGUACCUGCUGAUUCAAAAGAAAGAGGAUAAAGAGGAGCCUUUGUAUCAAAUUGUGGGCUUCACUGCAAUUUAUAAGUUCUAUCGUUACCCCGACAGGUUAAGGAUGCGACUCAGCCAGGUAUAAACAUAUAUACCUCAAUGAUCUUUGCUUUUCUUGUAUUCUUUACAAUUUGACUUGUUGUGCUGAUUGUUGGUUUUGAUUCCAGAUCUUGGUCCUGCCUUCCUUCCAAGGAAAAGGAUUUGGAAGCUACCUCAUGGAGGUUGUAAACAAAAUGGCCGUAGCAGAAGACGUUUACGAUCUAACAGUGGAAGAGCCAUCCGAAAAGUUCCAACACAUCCGCACUUGCAUAGACAUAAACCGCUUGCUGGCUUUCGAUCCAAUCAAACCAGCCAUUGACUCAGCUGUAGAGACUCUCACAAAAGGAAAACUAUCGAAGAAAGCUCAGAUACCUCGGUUCACUCCACCUUCGGAUGCCGUCCAGAAGGUCCGUGAAGCUCUGAAGAUCAACAAGAAACAGUUCCUCAAAUGCUGGGAGAUCUUGAUAUAUCUCGCGCUUGAUCCUGUCGACAAAUACAUGGAGGAUUACACAUGUGUCAUCACGAACCAUGUGAGAAUCGACAUUCUUGGAAAAGAUAUAGAGGCUCCAAAGAAACAGGUGGUGGAUGUUCCAACCACGUUCGAAGCUGAAGCAUCGUUUGUGGUUUUCAAGUCUGUGAAUGGAGAAGAAGCUAAUAACAACACUGUUCAAGUGGAUGAAAACAAACCGGAUCAAGAGCAGCAGUUGAAGCAAUUGGUUGAUGAAAGGAUUCGUGAGAUCAAGUUGGUUGCUGAGAAAGUCUCUAGAAGGUGAGAAUCUGAGUUGAAUAAAAACUUUGAGAGAGAGAUUUAUCAGAAGCUUUUUUUGUUGAGUGUUCAAACUCUGUGGUCUUUAAAAAGACAAAUCUGUUUGUAUUCUCUUUGCACCGGUUUGUUACGGAGGUUUGAGUAAACAGUGUAGUUCCGGUUUAGCGGUUUCGUUCGGUUAUGCAACUAUUAGCACAAUUUACAUUCAUGCCCGUAGUAAUGUUUGAGGGCAAUUUCUUAAGUUUUCCUGUAGUGUAGUUGUUGAGUUACAUACUGGGCCUUUAAUGGGCUCAAAACUUCUAAGGGCGUGAGAGGUUAAUGCUACUUGCUAACUAUAAUGGCACACACACUCAGCCCACUAAAGCCUAAAUAAAUCAUCUAGGUUUAGUUCAGUGUAGCAUAUAUAAAGCUUACUUCUACCCCUUCGGCGCCUUUCUGUCUGUCGACGUUCUUCGAGCCGCAAAGGUACUAUCUCUAUCUCUCUAGCUCAAUUCUGCGUUCUAUGAUCGUUAUAAUCUAGCAGUUUACAUAUCUGUUUAGUUUCCGAUAAGUGAAUCUACUUAUAAGUGGUCUUUGAUAGGUAAGAGUUUGAAGAAGUACAAACACAGACAAAGAAAAAAUGUCUGAGAAAAAGGGAAGGAAAGAGGAAGUGGUGACCAGAGAGUACACCAUCAACCUCCACAGACGCCUUCACAGCUGGUCAGCUUUCACAAAUCUCAAUCUCUUCUAUAAUAGUAAAUGUUUUAGCUGUCUGGUUGUUCAAGUUCAUAGUGCUGUAAUGUGAUCGUCUCUUCCUGCCAUAUUAUAGUAGGAAUCGUCUUAGACUUCUUGUGGGUUAUUUGAUUAAGUAUCUAAACUUUAAUCCUUUUGUAAAUGUAAAUAAUAUGUUAUUUCAUAGAGAAAUGUUGUUUAUGAUAUGGUGAAAAUUAGUAGCAAGCUUCUUAGGCUUACUUUUGGUUUGUUGGUUAAUGUUUAAAUAUUUUUCUUUUAGAAACUCAGUUUUGCAAUUGGAUUCACACGGAAAUGCUGUUUAUAAUAAUCAUAUUCCAUGUGUUCAAUCUUGUUUCAGCUCGUUAUUACUGUUUUGGUGUUUCUUGAAGCAUAAUAAGUCUAACGAACACUGAUUCUUGUUCUUGAUCAGAUUCAAUUUAUCCAAACAUGAUAGUGUUGAAAUGAAAAUGUGAACUUCAGUUUAAGAUUAGGCUUUAUUUAUCUGCUGAUUGUUUUCCUGAGAUUUAAGGUUCCCUGCUAAUACAUAAUUCAUUUUGUAACAGCACCUUUAAGAAGAAGGCACCAAAGGCCAUCAAGGAGAUCAGAAAGUUUGCAGAGAAAGCCAUGGGGACCAAAGACGUUAGAGUAGACGUGAAGUUGAACAAGCAGAUAUGGAGCAGAGGAAUCAGAGGUCCUCCAAGGAGGAUAAGGGUGCGUGUUGCGCGUAAGAGAAACGAUGACGAGGACGCCAAGGAAGAGUUUUUCUCACUUGUCACCGUUGCUGAAAUCCCUGCUGAAGGACUUAGUGGACUCGGCACUAAGGUCAUCGAUGAGGAGGAUUGAGAGGAGAGGACUACUAGUCUGUCACUUAGACAAGUUUUGGUGUUUUUCUUUUAAUUUCUCGUUGUUUUCAUUCAACAAGUCACAGAUGCAGUUUAUUGGAAAGACUCAUUUUCUAGACCUUAAUAUGAAUCUUUGUAUCUUCUGGAUUUUUCUUGGAAUCUCAUUUCUAAGACGGUCUUAGUGAUAAUCAAGGUGAACCUAAGUUGUCUAUGCAAUCAAUUGAACCUAAGGUUUCGUUAUACAUAUAAAUGUCAAAUGAAAUUAAUUUUCUGUAAUUCAGGAUACGUUCAGACAAGUCCGACUCAAAAAAUGUUUUCACUAUUCCGUAAAAAAGGAAAACGGAAGGACUCGAAAAUCAGUUUCCAUUACAUGGUCAGAGCUUACCUUUGGAACGAUGACUUCCAUCAGGCCAGCUCUAGUUCGUUUCGCGUGUAAUAGAAAAAAACGUCGACAGCAGGAUUCGAACCUGCGCGGGCAAAGCCCAAUUGAUUUCGAGUCAAUCUCCUUAACCACUCGGACAUAUCGACUUCUUGUUUCCAUCUUUCGUUUGACAAGUUGAUGAUAGUGUUGACAACAUCUGACGCUUCAAAUUAUAUAAAACCAAAAUUCUAUAAAGCCCACAGCAUUUGUUUCAAGUAGUAAUAAUAUUAGGGCCUACUGCUUACGGACCACAGAUCGGUCAUGCCUAAAAUCAACAAUACCACCAACCCCCCGGUUUUGAAGUUUAAUUACGUACUUACAUUUUCGGUUUGUGAAACUUUAUUUCUCCAGAUAAACCAACAAAACCAGUUCCAUGUCAUCGUAAAAUAUCCAAAUCAUUCAUUACGCAACGUACAAUGUAAAAUUAACCGGAACUGGUUCACAGAAACAGACCGAGCAGCAACAUAUAUAAAAAAAACAUAAAAAUGAGUUUUGUGCAAAGGUAAAAUCUUCUCAAAGGUCAGCUCUUCCAGGAUAGCGAGGGAAGGGAAUAACGUCUCUGAUGUUGUCCAUCCCUGUCGCAAACAGAACCAUACGCUCGAACCCAAGUCCGAACCCUGAAUGCUUCGCUGUUCCGUAACGUCUCAAGUCCAAGUACCACUCGUAU
rnacentral:lncRNA from 1 species